GGAGUAGUACUCAAGUUGGUGAAGAGGUAUCCCUGCUAAGGAUAUAGACUGGGUAACUGGUGCGAGGGUUCGAGUCCCUCCUACUCCGCCA
rnacentral:tRNA from 1 species